rnacentral:misc_RNA from 1 species
GUAGGUGAACCUGCGGAAGGAUCAUUACAGAGUUCAUGCCCUUCGGGGUAGACCUCCCACCCUAUGUUAUACCAACCAUUGUUGCUUUGGCGGGCCGCCCUUGGGGCCAUCGGCUUCGGCUGCUGCGUGCCCGCCAGAGACCCCCCAACCCUGAAUAUUAGUGUCGUCUGAGUACUAUAUAAUAGUUAAAACUUUCAACAACGGAUCUCUUGGUUCUG